UAGCUGUAGGAAAGUACAGAAGAUCAGCAUUCUCCUGGAGAGGGAUGGAAUAGCUCUCAGUAGCUUUUACAGCACAUAUUCAGGCAAGGCAUGACCACAUAUUUCGUAACCUCUCACCAUGGUUUUUC